GUGGGGAAUUUUGGACAAUGGGCGCAAGCCUGAUCCAGCAAUGCCGCGUGCAGGAAGAAGGCCUUCGGGUUGUAAACUGCUUUUGUACGGAACGAAACGGUCCUGGUUAAUACCUGGGGCUAAUGACGGUACCGUAAGAAUAAGCACCGGCUAACUACGUGCCAGCAGCCGCGGUAAUACGUAGGGUGCAAGCGUUAAUCGGAAUUACUGGGCGUAAAGCGUGCGCAGGCGGUUUUGUAAGACAGGCGUGAAAUCCCCGGGCUCAACCUGGGAAUUGCGAUUGUGACUGCAAGGCUGGAGUGCGGCAGAGGGGGAUGGAAUUCCGCGUGUAGCAGUGAAAUGCGUAGAUAUGCGGAGGAACACCGAUGGCGAAGGCAAUCCCCUGGGCCUGCACUGACGCUCAUGCACGAAAGCGUGGGGAGCAAACAGGAUUAGAAACCCGGGUAGUCC
rnacentral:rRNA from 1 species